UAGGGCUGGAGGAGGUCUCAGGACAACACCUGCUGUGUUCUUCUGUGCCAGAACUGAGCACUCAUGGUGUCUGUUUGCCAAGCCAGUUGUUGUUGUGUUGUUGUUGUUGUUGCUGUUGUUUGUUUUUAUAAAUA